CUCGCCGUGACGCGCACGCGGUAGGAAAACUGAUUAAAAGGAUUUACCAUACAUCUUAUGACUCUUUACUGGAGCCUUGGGAGACAGGCAAAUUGUUAUUCAAGUCAAAGACAUCAUAAUGCAGAGUGCUUUCUCAGUACCACCAAAAGAUCAAGGAGGUGUUUCCCUGCUCACCAGUACUGUUGAGAAACAGCUGAUUCAGAAGAAGUCAGAAUCUCCUGGAAAGACAGCAUGCACAGGUAUUUUUUAUAUGGGAGUUAGAGCGUCAAACGAAGUGAUUUGCUGCUUUCACCUUGAUGCGGUUCAGUUAGCAAGGCCUUCUCAGUUUCAGCUGUGUGACUCAACUGAACAUUCACAAUCCUAGCAAUAUUAACAGCAAAAAGAAUAACAAGAGGAUAGGCUUAAUAAAGCAUCCCUCUGUCUUGCUUUGCGUUCCUCAUAGAUCAUUAGCUCUUAGUUAAAUUCUGGUGCUACUCAGUCAUUCUUAGAUUUGGGUAAAGAUACCAAGUUGACUGCUUUGUAAUAGUGAAUAAAGUCUUGCUCAUAUUACAGGGUUUUUUUGGGUUUUUUUUUUUUUUUUUGCCGAAAAGAUAAGUAACUUCAUCUUUCUCAAUGCAUUAAAAAUAAGAAUAUUUCAUAGUUUUCAACUGUUUUUCAUCAGAAGCACUUGAAAUUAAAAAUAGUUCCUCCCAGAAAUGAGGACUGAUACAGGGGCUUAAUUAAAGUGAAGGAGAAAUUCACUGAAAUUGAGCAUUAUUAAAAUGUAUUUUAAAUGUAGUGCUUUUUAAAUUUUCAUUUGGGACAUUAAUUAUAUGACCCAAAAAGAAUAAUUAGCUACUUGAAUUUAACAAAAACCACAUUGUGUAAUUUUUUUUUCUUUUAUUGCCGUUAAUGUUUUAGGUAACCAGCUUUUAAAUUUGUUCGUAAAGAAUGCUUGUUUCCCCGUGCUUCAUGACAUAUUCACGUAUCUAAUUUGUUCAAUUUUAUGGGCUACAGACCCUCUUUGGAUGCCAGACUUUUCUUUCUAUAAACAAGCUAUCUUAAACUUACUUCUUAAUGAUACCCCCCACCCCCCCCCCCCCCCACCCCACCCCUCCCCCGGGCAGCAUACUGAAAUCUACAAGUACUGUCAAAGUUCUGGUUGCCCUGCCCCACCCUCUGAGAGUCCCCGUAUUUUCUCUUCCGAAUUGAGAAACCCCGUGGCCACUGCUCUCACCGUCCUCCUGAGAUGUGGCCAGAGUCGCUAGUCCCACUCUAGACCCCGUCCCUCCCAGGACCCCUGAGACCUGGGCUUAUUACCCCCAUCCCCUGAAGGGCCACUAGGGGAGUUUUGUCCCCUGCUAAGCUGGAGAACAACAGCAGUUAGCAUCAGUACUCAAUAUAAACAAAAGCAGAGGAGGGUGUCCCCAGAAAACAGCUCUUUACAAUGCACAUAUGUUCACUCCUAUUCACUAGAACUGUUCAUCUGAUUAGCACUUUGUCAACUGGAUGCAAAAAUUGGGGGGCGGGGCAGGGAAAAGAGAGCCUGAUAGGCUGGAUCAGAUGUAAUAGGUGAGCUGUCAGAGAGAGGCCAGAGAGAAGUGCUUUACAGGUUUAUGGGGCGCAUCAUUCACAAGUAAUAGUUAUUUCUUCCCGCUUUCCUUGAUUUACCUCUCAAAAAAGAAAUACCCGUUUAAGGGUUCAGGGCUGCUGCUGUAUGAUUCACGGUCAAGAUUUGUGCGUUUUUUCCUCCCACCAAAAAUAAAUGUCAGGAGCUUCAUACUUCUUGGCAAGAGAAGGUAGGAAACUGCUGAGAAUCUGACACGUGGUAAGCACUACCCUGGCACGUUUAAUGGGUACUUUCUUCAUUUAAUCCUGACAGCGACCAGAUACUAUUAUGCCCAUUUCAUAAAUGGGAACAUUCAGGCUGAGAGAGUAACUCUCCCAAACCACGGGACAGAGACAGGAGUUGAACCCACAUCUGUCUGAACCCCCAAACCCAUGAUCUUACCACUAGAGACUGUGAUGGUGACUGUCACCAUGCGUAAUAGCUUCCAGGCAGCAGGUAGAGCUGGGAAGAGAGCCUUUGGAGUCACGUGGGCCAAGGCUUGAGUUCCAGCCUGUUACCCACUGGCUGCAAAAUCUUUGUCUGUAAAAUGCACGUAACAGUAAUUCCUAACUCGGCGCAUUGUGGGGAUUAAAGGAGAUAACGCAUGCGAAGUAUUUUGCACAGUACCUGACACAUAAAUUGGGAAUAUGCUUGCUUCCUUUGUACAGUGUCAGAUUUCCUGAACUUGGGCUCCUAGUAGAAUGACUCCAGGCGGGCUGAGUGCUGUAGACGUGUGGACUAGAGUGAUGCUUGGCAUCCCGAGUCCUUGGAAACAAGGCACCCAUGUGCCUGCGUUGCCAGCACACCCUGCGGUGCCAUCUCUCCCGCCAGCGCUCAGUACCGCCCUGUAGACGGCGCCGCGGAGCCGGGACAUGCGGGGGAACGGGUGGGCGACGGCUCCACGUGUUUGUAGGUUUUUCAACAAAAUUAAGUUGAGCUCCCUUGUGUUCUGAGGCACUUCUUUCAUCUCAAAUUUCUCCGGGGUUUUACCAUGCUUGUUUUAACCAGAGACCAUCCUGGGAAACAGUUUGAACCCCAACUGGAACUUAUUAUUGGAAAGCCAAGUGGGAGGGAGAACAGGGAUGCCAACCAAUGAAAUUGAAGAUCGGGUUUUUCAGUUUAAUAAAAUUAAAACCUAAACAAGCCCUAAAAGUUUUGGCUCUUUUGUGGCCAAGACUUGGCAACACUUUCGCCCUGAGCCUGGACCAGGGGCUGCGUCAAGAGCGGGGGCCCUCUCUCUCCACCUGCUCUCCGCUCCGGCUUAGCCGCGGGCCCUCGGGUCCCCACAGAUGGAAUGAGGGGGAACCGUGCCCGAACCAGCCAAGGGUCAGGUGGGAAGAACUUUGUUCAGAAGCAGCACCGCGGGCCUCGGUUAUGCCGGUGGAAAUCAGGAAGUGAGCUGCUUGCAGCUCUUGGACAGUCGCCUGCCCCGUGUUCCUGUCUCUUAACACUGUGUGCGGGGCCACGUUGUGGAACAGUCUGAUGGGGCUGGCUCAGAUGAGGGCGCGUGGUGCCACUGGGCCCUCGGCUUCCCUCAGGGCAGCCGACACGCACCAGCCCCGUGCUCUGGAGGAGAUGGAGGAGGACACACACGGUGCUUUCUCCAGACAGAUACCUGGCCGCCUUUCUGGAUUUGUCAGAACCCUGUGCAUGGGAAGUGGGAAACUCAACUUUGAAUAUCUGCUUUUACCUUCAGGUGACUAUUACCUUUUCAUCACUUCUCUAAUAAGUGGGCUGUUGGAAAGAAUCAUUUAAUGGUAAUUGAACUUUGGAGAUAUGACAAGCCAUUGCUAUUUCAAAUUUUCUUUUUUCUUCUCCUUAAAAUUCAGAGAUAAUAUAUUUUGGAGCUAAUUAGGGCAAUUUUGUAAAGAAGUUUCCUCCUUUUGAGGGGAGGAUGAAGGAGAGGAAGGGAGGUCAUUGCUUCACAUUGGAAUGGGACGGACCUGGGUUGUGUGGAUUUUGGCAUGUAAUUAACUUCCCCAAGCCUCUUUUUGCCUCAUCUGUAAAAGGGGACAAUAAUGUUUAUUUGCAGAGUUUGCAUAAGGAUUCAAUUAAGAGAUGAGCACAGAUUCUAGACCAUAAUAAGGACUCAUUACCUCCUCGUUUUCCUUUAAUCCACAGUUAGAUCAAAUUCUCACCAACUGUAAAUGUCACUCUUCAAAAUAAUUGUUUAAUAUGCUUAACAUAUUAAAAACAGUCCACAUUUAAAAUCCUAAUACUAAGUAUUUGCAUUGUAGAACUGUGCAAAAAUUAAUUUUACUGAGUGAGCCUUUUAUGUUUUCAGUUAAUAAAAGUCCAUGUUUAGUGCCUGAGAGUCCUGUGGGUCUCUCUAACUGUGUUAUGGGUAAUUCCGCAGGAUUUCCAGAAAUGAUGAAUGUCAGUGGAAAUUUCGACUUACCAUUUAGUGCACAGUUCUAUGAAAUCUGUGAUUUAGUAGGUGAUGUGGUUUAGAUCACACCAUCUGGGAGAGGCCUUGUAAAUGUGUCGUGGAAUAAACCACUGUUGCAGCUACAUGGCCAAGAAAGACUUCCCACGAUCAGACAUCGCAGUGUUUUAAAAAACUUAAUGGCAUUUGCAGUUUCUCUAAACACUCCUAUUGUUCAAACCUCUUU
ensembl:lncRNA